AAAGCGUGCGCAGGCGGUUUUGUAAGUCUGUCGUGAAAUCCCCGGGCUCAACCUGGGAAUGGCGAUGGAGACUGCAAGGCUAGAGUUUGGCAGAGGGGGGUAGAAUUCCACGUGUAGCAGUGAAAUGCGUAGAGAUGUGGAGGAACACCGAUGGCGAAGGCAGCCCCCUGGGUCAAAACUGACGCUCAUGCACGAAAGCGUGGGGAGCAAACAGGAUUAGAUACCCCUGU
rnacentral:rRNA from 1 species